rnacentral:tRNA from 1 species
GGGGCUGUGGCUCAGCAGCAGAGCGCUCGCCUGGCAUGUGUGAGGCCCUGGGUUUGAUCCUCAGCACCA